GAUGAACGCUGGCGGCGUGCCUAAUACAUGCAAGUAGAACGCUGAAGGAGGAGCUUGCUCUUCUGGAUGAGUUGCGAACGGGUGAGUAACGCGUAGGUAACCUGCCUGGUAGCGGGGGAUAACUAUUGGAAACGAUAGCUAAUACCGCAUGACAACAGUUAUUGCAUGAUAACUGUUUAAAAGGGGCAACUGCUCCACUACCAGAUGGACCUGCGUUGUAUUAGCUAGUUGGUGAGGUAACGGCUCACCAAGGCGACGAUACAUAGCCGACCUGAGAGGGGGUCCGGCACCCUGGGACCGGGACACCGGCCAGGACUCCACCGGGGGGCGCAGGAGGGGAUCCUCGGCCAAGGACGGGAAUUUGACCCGACCAAGGCGGGGUAGGGAAGAAGGUUUUCCGGUCCGAAAGCUCUGUUGUUAGAGGAGAACGGGUUUUGGGGUGGAAAGUUCACACUGUGACGGUAGCUUACCAGAAAGGGACGGCUAACUACGUG
rnacentral:rRNA from 1 species